rnacentral:rRNA from 1 species
UACGUAGGGUGCGAGCGUUGUCCGGAAUUACUGGGCGUAAAGAGCUCGUAGGUGGUUUGUCGCGUUGUCCGUGAAAACUCACAGCUCAACUGUGGGCGUGCGGGCGAUACGGGCAGACUGGAGUACUGCAGGGGAGACUGGAAUUCCUGGUGUAGCGGUGGAAUGCGCAGAUAUCAGGAGGAACACCGGUGGCGAAGGCGGGUCUCUGGACAGUUCCUGACGCUGAGGCGCGAAGGCCAGGGGAGCAAACGGG